rnacentral:rRNA from 1 species
GUAAGGAAUAUUGGACAAUGGACGCAAGUCUGAUCCAGCCAUGCCGCGUGAAGGAUUAAGGUCCUCUGGAUUGUAAACUUCUUUUAUAAGGGACGAAAAAAGGCUUUUCUAAGUCGUCUGACGGUACCUUAUGAAUAAGCACCGGCUAACUCCGUGCCAGCAGCCGCGGUAAUACGGAGGGUGCAAGCGUUAUCCGGAUUCACUGGGUUUAAAGGGUGCGUAGGCGGGCAGGUAAGUCAGUGGUGAAAUCCUAGAGCUUAACUCUAGAACUGCAAUUGAUACUAUCUGUCUUGAAUAUUGUGGAGGUAAGCGGAAUAUGUCAUGUAGCGGUGAAAUGCUUAGAUAUGACAUAGAACACCUAUUGCGAAGGCAGCUUACUACGCAUAUAUUGACGCUGAGGCACGAAAGCGUGGGGAUCAAACAGGAUUAGAUACCCCAGUAGUCC